rnacentral:lncRNA from 1 species
UCGGUGCGGAAAUAUGGCUGCAAUCCUCGAAAUUGGGGAGAACAUGGAGCAAAAUUUCCUUCAAUUUGAUCCAGCACCUCGUCAGAUUGAACCUGACACCACAAGGAAAACCCCAGAUUAUUUUUUGUGAGCUUAUUUUCCUGCCAGGUCUUUGUAGUCCUCGCUUGCUAUUCUCUCUGUAGAUGUGUCUAAAAAGAGGAGUUUUUGCUGUUUGAGGAUUAUUACU